rnacentral:rRNA from 1 species
UACGGAGGGAGCUAGCGUUGUUCGGAAAUACUGGGCGUAAAGCGCACGUAGGCGGCGCAGCAAGUCAGGGGUGAAAUCCCGGGGCUCAACCCCGGAACUGCCCUUGAAACUGCAGUGCUAGAAUCUUGGAGAGGCGAGUGGAAUUCCGAGUGUAGAGGUGAAAUGCGCAGAUAUCGGGAGGAACACCAAUGGCGAAGGCAGCUCGCUGGGACGGUACUGACGCUGAGACGCGAAAGCGUGGGGAGCAAACAGG